UACGUAGGAUCCGAGCGUUGUCCGGAUUUACUGGGUGUAAAGGGUGCGCAGGCGGGCUGGUGAGUCUGGGGUGAAAUACUCCAGCUUAACUGGAGGGGUGCCAAUGAUACUGCAGGGCUUGAGUACAGAUGAGGUAGGCGGAAUUGACGGUGUAGCGGUGAAAUGCAUAGAUAUCGUCAAGAACACCGAUAGCGAAGGCAGCUUACUGGGCUGUAACUGACGCUGAGGCACGAAAGUGUGGGGAUCAAACAGG
rnacentral:rRNA from 1 species